CGAAACCAGGUGAUCUACCCUUGGUCAGGUUGAAGUUCAGGUAACACUGAAUGGAGGACCGAACCGACUUACGUUGAAAAGUGAGCGGAUGAACUGAGGGUAGCGGAGAAAUUCCAAUCGAACCUGGAGAUAGCUGGUUCUCUCCGAAAUAGCUUUAGGGCUAGCCUCAAGUGAUGAUUAUUGGAGGUAGAGCACUGUUUGGACGAGGGGCCCCUCUCGGGUUACCGAAUUCAGACAAACUCCGAAUGCCAAUUAAUUUAACUUGGGAGUCAGAACAUGGGUGAUAAGGUCCGUGUUCGAAAGGGAAACAGCCCAGACCACCAGCUAAGGUCCCAAAAUAUAUGUUAAGUGGAAAAGGAUGUGGCGUUGCCCAGACAACUAGGAUGUUGGCUUAGAAGCAGCCAUCAUUUAAAGAGUGCGUAAUAGCUCACUAGUCGAGUGACACUGCGCCGAAAAUGUACCGGGGCUAAACAUAUUACCGAAGCUGUGGAUUGUCCUUUGGACAAUGGUAGGAGAGCGUUCUAAGGGCGUUGAAGCAUGAUCGUAAGGACAUGUGGAGCGCUUAGAAGUGAGAAUGCCGGUGUGAGUAGCGAAAGACGGGUGAGAAUCCCGUCCACCGAUUGACUAAGGUUUCCAGAGGAAGGCUCGUCCGCUCUGGGUUAGUCGGGUCCUAAGCUGAGGCCGACAGGCGUAGGCGAUGGAUAACAGGUUGAUAUUCCUGUACCACCUAUAAUCGUUUUAAUCGAUGGGGGGACGCAGUAGGAUAGGCGAAGCGUGCGAUUGGAUUGCACGUCUAAGCAGUAAGGCUGAGUAUUAGGCAAAUCCGGUACUCAUUAAGGCUGAGCUGUGAUGGGGAGAAGACAUUGUGUCUUCGAGUCGUUGAUUUCACACUGCCGAGAAAAGCCUCUAGAUAGAAAAUAGGUGCCCGUACCGCAAACCGACACAGGUAGUCAAGAUGAGAAUUCUAAGGUGAGCGAGCGAACUCUCGUUAAGGAACUCGGCAAAAUGACCCCGUAACUUCGGGAGAAGGGGUGCUCUUUAGGGUUAACGCCCAGAAGAGCCGCAGUGAAUAGGCCCAAGCGACUGUUUAUCAAAAACACAGGUCUCUGCUAAACCGUAAGGUGAUGUAUAGGGGCUGACGCCUGCCCGGUGCUGGAAGGUUAAGAGGAGUGGUUAGCUUCUGCGAAGCUACGAAUCGAAGCCCCAGUAAACGGCGGCCGUAACUAUAACGGUCCUAAGGUAGCGAAAUUCCUUGUCGGGUAAGUUCCGACCCGCACGAAAGGCGUAACGAUUUGGGCACUGUCUCAACGAGAGACUCGGUGAAAUCAUAGUACCUGUGAAGAUGCAGGUUACCCGCGACAGGACGGAAAGACCCCGUGGAGCUUUACUGUAGCCUGAUAUUGAAAUUCGGCACAGCUUGUACAGGAUAGGUAGGAGCCUUUGAAACGUGAGCGCUAGCUUACGUGGAGGCGCUGGUGGGAUACUACCCUAGCUGUGUUGGCUUUCUAACCCGCACCACUUAUCGUGGUGGGAGACAGUGUCAGGCGGGCAGUUUGACUGGGGCGGUCGCCUCCUAAAAGGUAACGGAGGCGCUCAAAGGUUCCCUCAGAAUGGUUGGAAAUCAUUCAUAGAGUGUAAAGGCAUAAGGGAGCUUGACUGCGAGACCUACAAGUCGAGCAGGGUCGAAAGACGGACUUAGUGAUCCGGUGGUUCCGCAUGGAAGGGCCAUCGCUCAACGGAUAAAAGCUACCCCGGGGAUAACAGGCUUAUCUCCCCCAAGAGUUCACAUCGACGGGGAGGUUUGGCACCUCGAUGUCGGCUCAUCGCAUCCUGGGGCUGUAGUCGGUCCCAAGGGUUGGGCUGUUCGCCCAUUAAAGCGGUACGCGAGCUGGGUUCAGAACGUCGUGAGACAGUUCGGUCCCUAUCCGUCGUGGGCGUAGGAAAUUUGAGAGGAGCUGUCCUUAGUACGAGAGGACCGGGAUGGACAUACCUCUGGUGUACCAGUUGUCGUGCCAACGGCAUAGCUGGGUAGCUAUGUGUGGACGGGAUAAGUGCUGAAAGCAUCUAAGCAUGAAGCCCCCCUCAAGAUGAGAUUUCCCAACUUCGGUUAUAAGAUCCCUCAAAGAUGAUGAGGUUAAUAGGUUCGAGGUGGAAGCAUGGUGACAUGUGGAGCUGACGAAUACUAA
rnacentral:rRNA from 1 species